GAGGGUAUAGCUCGGUGGUUGAGUGUGUGCUUAGCAUGCACAAGGUCCUGGGUUCAAUCCCCAGUACCUCCA
rfam:Camelus ferus unplaced genomic scaffold scaffold1783, whole genome shotgun sequence.